rnacentral:tRNA from 16 species
UGACAUUGCCUGGUGGUGAUAGCGGACUUCAAAUCCGUUGGGGUUUAGCGACCCAGCAGUUCGAUUCUGCCUUGC